rnacentral:lncRNA from 1 species
UUUUUUUUUGUGUUUAAGUGAUUUUAUUAACUUUAGUGUUAUUAUUAUUAUUGUGAUAUUAUUUAUAUUUUUUAUUCAAUUUUUUGGUUGUAUUUCUUGAUUAUUUAUGUGUUAUUUUUAAUAAUAAUAAUUAAAAAUUAAGAGUUUAGUUCUAUAAAAAUAUUAGAAAUAAUAGACAUUGAAGAUUUCUAAUUAACUAGAUAUUAUGGGUAAACAGAUAAAUUUAUGAAAUAAAAGGGAAGUGGAUAGAAUAAAAU